CAGAAAAUAUUAUAAGUAAAUAUUUAAAUUUUGGGGGUUUAAGCUGAGAAAUCUUUUCUGA
rnacentral:tRNA from 1 species